rnacentral:rRNA from 1 species
GGGAUUGCCUUAGUAACGGCGAGUGAAGCGGCAAUAGCUCAAAUUUGAAAGCUGGCGCCUUCGGCGUCCGCGUUGUAAUUUGUAGAGGAUGCUUCGGCGAGGACUCCUGCCUAAGUCCCCUGGAACGGGGCGUCACAGAGGGUGAGAAUCCCGUACGUGGCGGGCGGUCCGAGCCAUGUGAAGCUCCUUCGACGAGUCGAGUUGUUUGGGAAUGCAGCUCUAAAUGGGAGGUAAAUUUCUUCUAAAGCUAAAUACUGGCCAGAGACCGAUAGCGCACAAGUAGAGUGAUCGAAAGAUGAAAAGCACUUUGGAAAGAGAGUUAAAAAGUACGUGAAAUUGUUGAAAGGGAAGCGCUUGCAACCAGACUCGUCCGCAGUUGCUCAGCCGGCCUCUUGGCCGGUGUACUCUUCUGCGGCCGGGCCAGCAUCGGUUUGGGCGGCCGGAUAAAGGUGUCGGGAAUGUAGCACCCUUCGGGGUGUGUUAUAGCCCGGCGCGGAAUGCGGCCAGCCUGGACCGAGGAUCUCGCUUCGGCAAGGAUGCUGGCGUAAUGGUUGUAAGCGGCCCGUCUUGAAACACGGACCAAGGAGUCUAACAUCUAUGCGAGUGUUUGGGUGUCAAACCCAUGCGCGUAAUGAAAGUGAACGGAGGUGGGAACCCCUCGCGGGGUGCACCAUCGACCGAUCCUGAUGUCUUCGGAUGGAUUUGAGUAAGAGCAUAGCUGUUGGGACCCGAAAGAUGGUGAACUAUGCCUGAAUAGGGUGAAGCCAGAGGAAACUCUGGUGGAGGCUCGCAGCGGUUCUGACGUGCAAAUCGAUCGUCAAAUUUGG